UCCCUGGUGGCUCAGAGGUUAAAGCGUCUGCCUGCAAUGCGGGAGACCUGGGUUCAAUCCCUGGGUUAGGAA
rnacentral:tRNA from 1 species